rnacentral:snoRNA from 1 species
UGGACCAUUGAUGAGAGCAUGUUAUGAAGCAAGGCUUAUGAUUAAUCCAGCUCUGUACACUAAUAAAAAAAAUCCAAA